rnacentral:rRNA from 1 species
GACGAACGCUGGCGGCGUGCUUAACACAUGCAAGUCGUACGGUAAGGCCCUUUCGGGGGUCCACGAGUGGCGAACGGGUGAGUAACACGUGAGUAACCUGCCCACAACUUUGGGAUAACGCUAGGAAACUGGUGCUAAUACUGGAUAUGUGCUCCUGCUGCAUGGUGGGGGUUGGAAAGCUCCGGCGGUUGUGGAUGGACUCGCGGCCUAUCAGCUUGUUGGUGGGGUAGUGGCCUACCAAGGCGGCGACGGGUAGCCGGCCUGAGAGGGUGACCGGCCACAUUGGGACUGGGAUACGGCCCAGACUCCUACGGGAGGCAGCAGUGGGGAAUAUUGCACAAUGGGCGCAAGCCUGAUGCAGCAACGCCGCGUGCGGGAUGACGGCCUUCGGGUUGUAAACCGCUUUCAGCAGGGACGAAGCUUUUUGUGACGGUACCUGCAGAAGAAGCACCGGCUAACUACGUG